GUGAUUUAAUUGUACGGUAAUCCGUGAACAUCCGUCUAAUUAAAUGUGGUAAAGUGAAAGUGAUAGUGUAAAUAGUUUUUAUAUAAAGUGUCUUUUUAGUGAUGUACUUUAGUUUUGCAAAAAAAUAGAUUUUAAAAAAUUUCAGAAGUCAACCUUGCUUUAUGAAUCAAAUGUGCUGGUGAUUAUUUUAUGAUGCAGGUGUGCGCUCGAAUUUUCUUCAAAAGAUAUCAAGAAAAUUGGCGACAGUUUUCGGAGAAUCAAAAGGAUUUUGGAAGAUUUUUCGACUAUUUUUAGAAAGUUAAAAAUACGGCUAAAGGUCUGCUAAAGAGGCUCGGCGCAAUGUUUAUUAUAAAACUUGCACUAAAAACUAAUUACUUCGAA